UGGGGAAUAUUGGACAAUGGGCGCAAGCCUGAUCCAGCAAUGCCGCGUGUGUGAAGAAGGCCUUCGGGUUGUAAAGCACUUUUAUCAGGAGCGAAACGCUGUCGGCUAAUACCCGGCGGAACUGACGGUACCUGAGGAAUAAGCACCGGCUAACUUCGUGCCAGCAGUCGCGGUAAUACGAAGGGUGCAAGCGUUAAUCGGAAUUACUGGGCGUAAAGCGUGCGUAGGCGGUUUCUUAAGUCUGCUGUGAAAUCCCCGGGCUCAACCUGGGAAUGGCAGUGGAUACUGGGAGGCUAGAGUGUGUCAGAGGGUGGUGGAAUUCCCGGUGUAGCGGUGAAAUGCGUAGAGAUCGGGAGGAACAUCAGUGGCGAAGGCGGCCACCUGGGACAACACUGACGCUGAGGCACGAAAGCGUGGGGAGCAAACAGGAUUAGAUACCCUGGUAGUCCACGCCCUAAAGCGAUGCGAACUGGAUGUUGGUCUCAACUCGGAGAUCAGUGUCGAAGCUAACGCGUUAAGUUCGCCGCCUGGGGAGUACGGUCGCAAGACUGAAACUCAAAUGAAUUGACGGGGUCAUAGCUGUUUCC
rnacentral:rRNA from 1 species